UACAGAGGGGGCAAGCGUUGUUCGGAAUUACUGGGCGUAAAGGGCGCGUAGGUGGCCUUUUGAGUCAGACGUGAAAUCCCCCGGCUUAACCCAGGAACUGCGUCCGAUACUGGCAGGCUUGAAUCCGGGAGAGGGAUGCGGAAUUCCAGGUGUAGCGGUGAAAUGCGUAGAUAUCUGGAGGAACACCGGUGGCGAAGGCGGCAUCCUGGACCGGUAUUGACGCUGAGGCGCGAAAGCCAGGGGAGCAAACGGG
rnacentral:rRNA from 1 species